rnacentral:sRNA from 1 species
GACUGCCGGUGCGUGUUUGAAGUGGGCCACAGGGGCUGGGCAUGAUAUGAGCUGCCUGGACAUUGGAGGAGGCUUCCCCGGAAUGGAGGGCUCCGGAUCCAAGUUUGAGGAGGUGAGCUGGCAAGGGUGCUGGGGGUGUUCAGGGAGGUCCACAUGUGUGCCCAGGCAUGUGUGUGUGGUGGGGGGUCUGUGUUCAAGCAUGUACCUCUGUGUGUUUAGGUCUCUCUGGUGUGUCUCGGUGCUCUGUGUGCACAGGCGGGUAUGUGUGUAUGUGCAUGUCUUGGCGUUGAUAUCCCCCAAAAGCAGACUCUGAGACAAACACUUGGAUACAAGUAGUUUUUUUGGAGAUGAUCCGUGGAAGCGCCAAUGAGGAAGUCAGAAAAGUGAGAUAGAAGGGAGAAAAGUCAAAAGAGAAUUCAUCUAUGAGCUGGUUACCACUGUGGGCCCCUGCACCAGUCUCCCUGGGGACAAUGUAGAACCUCAGAAUCAUCCCACUAGAGGACAUGGGGCUGGUCCUUUAUUCACCAACUCCUGUCCCUCUUUGGUUGAAGGCUGUGGUCUGGGGGUGUUAAUUUCCCCACAUUCCAGCUAGUUUCCGAGGGUGCUGGAGAAAGCCCACAGAGCGAGAAGCAAAGGGAGGCAGGCACUGGAGGCUGGAAAUCAUCUUGCACAGGGCAGAUGAGCUCAGGUAGGCUGAGGGGAGGUGACACAGGGUGUCCACUGCAGCUGCAGCAAGGUGUCUGGGGGCUGUGCCUCUCUGUGUGCCUGUGUGUCUGUAUGUGUAUAUGUUUUCCUGUAGAAUGUAGAAUUCUUGUUAGCAUCACCGAUACAGUUACAGUUACAGUUGGGAGUUUACAUUCCCUGGGUCCACAAGACACUCGCCUUCUUAUGGUGCAUCAGAUUAAAUUGCUGCACCUUAGGACUUCUCAGGGAGCCUGGUGGCCAGCAACCCCACACAAGUGACCUCCUGUCUCUCAACUUCUGUUUCCUCUUUGGUAAACAGGGAUAAUUCUAACGCCUACACUGCAGGGUGCCUUGGGGAUGAAAGGACUGAUGCAGGUAAGGCGUUGGCACAGGCGCUGGCACAUCAACACGUGCUGGAUGAGUUGACCUCUUCCUGCUGUCCCUCCACCCCAUUCCAGUUGGCAAGAGUGAUCAGUGCUGCCCUGGCCCAGGACUUCCCUGAGGAGUGUGGUGUCAAGGUCAUCGCAGAGCCUGGCCGCUUCUAUGUGGAGUCUGUCUGCACGGCCGCUGUCAACAUCAUUGCCAAGAAGGCUGUGCUGGAGCCCGGUGGGUGGGCCAGGAUGGCACUGGGUGGGGAGGCUACUGUCCAGGUGUCCCCAGGCCCUGGAGGAGAGGAAGGGCAGAGGGUUGGGCUCUGUCCCAGGAGCUGGGGUGUCAGAGUAGUGACUGAGCACUCCCCAGGAGGCAGCCGGAAGCUGAUGUAUUAUCUCAAUGACGGCCACUAUGGCUCCUUCCGCCUCUGCCACCGACAGCCUGUCCCAAGGGUUCCCAUCGUGGUGAAGGUAAGGGGGCCACUCCAGCCCCAAGAGUCUAGUCCCUUACCUUGAGGUGCCUUGUGCCUCCCCCACUGGGAACAGUGGCUGUGCUGGACCCCAGAGGCAGGUCCUGGCCUGCUGCAUAGAGCACACGUGGACACGUACAGGACGUGUGCUCGACAGGUCAGAGCACGUGCAGCAGCUGGAUAUGUGGGCCUUGUCAGGCAAAGGGAUGAUCACCAGAACACAAAGGCAUGGGCUGUUUUCCCAAAUAUUGAAGUUCUUCUCCCUGGUGGCUUAAGAGCCAUUCCUUCUCCCUGGUGGUUAAAGAGCUGUUCCCCCAAGUCCACCAGGGGCCUCCCUGCCGACACCCUUGCUGCUCAGUCCCUCCCAUGAUCUAGCAACAAAGCUUCAAUACCUGACCCUGUAGGGCCGACAGGAUCUUCCUCCAGCCUACGGCAGUUGUCUCCUAAUGUGAUGGGUUGGUGUCCGGGCCACACUGCUUUGUAAAUAUCUUGACUGUUUCUCCCGGCCAGUGAAAGUUUUGGUGUGUGCACACAUUUGGUCAUGUAUAUGAUGUGUGUCUGCAUGCAUGUGUGAGUGCGUAUGUGUGUGAAGUGUUUCUGUGUGUGUCUUCAUGUGUGUAUUUGCCUCUCUUCUCAUCAGAAGGAGUGAGUACUGGAUGUGGAGGAACCAGUAGGAGACCUUGUGUUUGUUUGGUUCCCACAAUGGUUUUCAAUUAGUUGCCCAUAUUUAAAAAUCUAGACAUAUUUC